CUAGACUUGACAUCUCCUGAAUUACCCUUAAUCGGGGAAGUCCCUUCGGGGACAGGAAGACAGGUGGUGCAUGGUUGUCGUCAGCUCGUGUCGUGAGAUGUUGGGUUAAGUCCCGCAACGAGCGCAACCCCUAUCUUUAGUAGCCAGCAUUUCGGAUGGGCACUCUAGAGAGACUGCCAGGGAUAACCUGGAGGAAGGUGGGGAUGACGUCAAAUCAUCAUGCCCCUUAUGACUUGGGCUACACACGUGCUACAAUGGUGACAACAAAGGGAAGCAGCCCUGUGAAGGUGAGCAAAUCCCAAAAAAGUCAUCUCAGUUCGGAUUGUAGUCUGCAACUCGACUACAUGAAGCUGGAAUCGCUAGGAAUCGCGAAUCAGAAUGUCCGGUGAAUACGUUCCCGGGCCUUGU
rnacentral:rRNA from 1 species